rnacentral:rRNA from 1 species
CUUGUUUAACUAAAUAUAAGAGGUCCCGCCUGCCCUGUGACCACAUGUUUAACGGCCGCGGUACUCUGACCGUGCGAAGGUAGCGAAAUCACUUGUCUCUUAAAUGGAGACCUGUAUGAAUGGCACGACGAGGGCUUAGCUGUCUCCUUUUCCUAGUCAAUGAAAUUGAUCUCCCCGUGCAGAAGCGGGGCUGCCACCAUAAGACGAGAAGACCCUAUGGAGCUUUAGACACCAGGCAGCCCAUACCAAACGAACCUGCUUUACCAGAAAGAACCCUAUGGCCCCUCGCCUACUUGUCUUUGGUUGGGGCGACCGCGGAGGAAAAAAUAGCCUCCAUGAAGACUGAGAGCACCGCUCUCACAAGCAAGACCCACCGCUCUAAACAACAGAACUUCUGACCAAGUGACCCGGCCUGCGCCGAUUAACGGACCCAGUUACCCUAGGGAUAACAGCGCAAUCCUCUCUCAGAGUCCCUAUCGACGAGCGGGUUUACGACCUCGAUGUUGGAUCAGGACAUCCUAAUGGUGCAGCCGCUAUUAAGGGUUCGUUUGUUCAACGAUUAACAGUCCU